UACAGAGGUCUCAAGCGUUGUUCGGAUUCAUUGGGCGUAAAGGGUGCGUAGGUGGCGUCGUAAGUCGGGUGUGAAAUUUCGGAGCUUAACUCCGAAACUGCAUUCGAUACUGCGGUGCUUGAGGACUGGAGAGGAGACUGGAAUUUACGGUGUAGCAGUGAAAUGCGUAGAGAUCGUAAGGAAGACCAGUGGCGAAGGCGGGUCUCUGGACAGUUCCUGACACUGAGGCACGAAGGCCCAGGGGGAGCAAAACGGG
rnacentral:rRNA from 1 species